rnacentral:rRNA from 1 species
GCUUUAAAAUUAUUUAUGCUUAUUAAUUAAAAAUUUCUAUCAAAAAUAAUUUUUNUAUAUAUUAAUUGAAGUAAAAUUUGAUAAAACAAGGAUAUAGAUAAUAAAAAAUAGUACUGUGAAGGAAAUUUGAAAUAANUGAAAAUAUACACACGUGAAAGUAGUUAUAAAUAAACUUACCUUGUGUAUCAGGGUUUUUUAAUUUUAUUGUGUUAUAUAAAAAUCCCGAAACGAAAAGAGCUAUAGUUUUUAUAAAGUUUACAUGGUAAAUAAUUUUNAAAAAAAACUAUAGUUGUGAAAUGUUAGCCGAUUUUCGUAAUAUCUGGUUACUAAAGAAUAAAAUUUAAUUUUACAUUUUUAUAAUCUUAUAAAAAUAUAAAGAAAAAANGGNUUCAGNCUUUUUUUNCUAUAAUGAUUAUUUAAUAGUGGUGUUAAACUUUAAGUUUGAAAUUAGGCUUAAAAGUAGCCAUAUUUAUAAAGUNGUUCUAACUAACAUAUUACUAAUUAGUAUUUAUAACCACUUUAUUCACUUACUUAGUAGAAACAAUUAAUCUUAUAUUGAAGGUUAAAAUGAAUUAAUAAGUAGAUAAAAUUUGUGAUAUAAAAAUUUUAAAUAUUUAAAUUUUAUAAAAUAAUAAUAAUUUGUGCUAAGUAACUCGGCAAAAAUUGUUUCUGCCUGUUUAUCAAAAACAUGUCUUUAUGAUAUAUUUAUAAAGUCUGGCCUGCCCACUGAAUUUUAAANGGCCGCGGUAUNNUGACCGUGCAAAGGUAGCAUAAUCANUUGNUCUCUUAAUUGGAGGCUUGUAUGAAUGGUUGCACAAGAAACAAACUGUCUUCAGCUAAAUUUAUUGAACUUAACUUUUAAGUAAAAAGGCUUAAAUAAAUUAAAGUGACGAUAAGACCCUAUAAAACUUGAUAAAUAAAAUNAAAAAAGUGGAGUAGUUGAUUAAAACUUUUAUUGUGGAAUUUAUUUUAUUGGGGCGAUAAAAAUAUAAAAAGUAACUGUUUUUAAAGUUUUAAUGAUUUAUAAUCAGAUUGUGUGAAUGAUCCUUUAAUAAAGAUUAUAAGAUUAAGUUACUUUAGGGAUAACAGCGUAAUUUUCUUUGAGAGUUCUUAUCUACAAGAAAGAUUACGACCUCGAUGUUGAAUUAAAAAAUCUUUAAGGUGUAGCAGCUUUAAAAGAAGGUCUGUUCGACCUUUAAAUUUUUACAUGAUUUGAGUUCAGACCGGUGUGAGCCAGGUCGGUUUCUAUCUUUUAAUUAAUAAGAAUUACUUUAGUACGAAAGGAUUAAGUAGUUAAAAAAUUUUUCUAUA